ensembl:lncRNA
UGGAAAACACAUCUCUUGUUCCUCUCCUCCUUAUUCACCCUCUGCUUCUCUUCUGGCUGUGGCCCAAGUGGUAGGAUGCUUCCUUUAAGUGGUAGGACGCUUCCUUUAAGUGGUAGGACGCUUCCUUUAAGUGCAAGGAUGCUUACUAUAAGUGAUAGAAUGCUUCCUAUAAGUGAUCGGAUGCUUCCUUUAACUGGUAGGAUGGAUGCUUCCUAUAAGUGAUAGGAUGCUUCCUUGAAUUGCUAGGAUGCUUCCUUGAAGUGGUAGGACGCUUCCUAUAAGUGGUAGGAUGCUUCCUUGAAGUGGGAGGAUGCUUCCUAUACGUGCUAGGAUGCUUCCUUGAAUUGCUAGGAUGCUUCCUUGAAGUGGUUGGAUGCUUCCUAUAAGUGGUAGGACGCUUCCUGCAAGUGAUAGGAUGUUUCCUUGAAGUGGUAGGAUGCUUCCUACAGUGGUAGGAUGCUUCCUAUAAGUGGUAGGAUGCUUCCUACUACUACACUGAUACCAAACCAAGUCAUUCUCAAAAAGCUAGCUUAUCUAGCAUCUAGCUUCAUAGAAGAAACCUUGCUAACAGUAAGCUUCCUAGGGACUAGCUCCCUAGCUGUAAGCUUCCUAGUGGCGGGCUUCCUAGGGACUAGCUCCCUAGCUGUAAGCUUCCUAGCGACGGGCUUCCUAGCUGAAAGCUUCCUACGGACUAGCUCCCUAGUGGUGGGCUUCCUUGAAACUACGCUCCCUAGCGGUAAGCUUACCAGCAGUAAGCUUUGUAGCGGCUAGCUUCCGAGCAGUAAGGUUCCUCGGGACUUGUUCCCUAGCAGCUAGCUUCCUCCAGCCAGGCACCAGUUUGGGCCUUCGGGCCGGCUCCGCUAGAGACCGUCGAGGACAACAGACCCCCCCUGGGGCCCUCUCCCUCUCCGACCAAGGAGCCCCUUCUCCCCAUCAGUCUUCUGGUCCACGCCAGCGUUCCUCUGGCUGUAAAACCCUCUUCUUCAGAGGGGGAGUUACGAGCCCGCGGGGACGGAUCGGAGCCGGCGUGACUGAUGGCGUUUUUACACCAUAGUUUGUGUAAUACUGUCGACGCACUCAAGGCUCCUUCAGCAUGCAGACGCUGAGCAACGAUGUCCUCUAUGAACGGGACGACACUUUUAUAACGCAGGACUUUAGUUUAUUUUUAUUUAUUUUUUACUGGAAAUAAAUCUGUUUAGUCAAUGUUCAGAGAUAAAAGGUAACGAUACGGCAGCGUCGUCCGCCUAUCGCAAACAUGAAGACCGAAAUGCAAAACGAGGAAGCCUUAGUUUAAGGCGUCGCAGGCGCGUGUCGGAUCAGAUAUAAAAGGAUUAAAGUCAUCGAUUGCUUCCAUAAAGUAGCGUCGGAAAAUCAUGAGUUCUCAAUUCAAACCCAACUUUAAUUAAAGAGGAAUUUCUGCCAAUGUUAGGGAGAUGCGGGCUCCCCAGGCUAGCCGUUGCUCAGGCACCUGUGCUGUGGCUGAUUGGAUUAGGCUCCAGACAGGUUUCUGGUGGGAUAGUGCUCCUCUGAGGGAAAAGGCCCCCGCCGCGGUCUGAACUCCGUCUGAACCCGGCUCACCUCCGCCGACGACCUGGUUCUAAAAUAGAAACCAGUGGGCUAUUAGAUGUCGAAACCAGGUGCACCGGUCGUGAAACGUAACAAACAUAUCAAUACGAUGGUCAGAGAGGAGUUGACGAUGUGGAGAGAGCUGGAGAUUGCUGUGCUGAGGAAGGGAAGACUGUUGACCAGUACGUGGUCUCACCCAAACCCGUUCUCACCCGUACCUGUCUCACCCAUACCUGUCUCACCCUUACCUGUCUCACGCGCUCGUUCUCUCUGAUCAGACUCUGGUCCGGUCUGCGUUAGUCCUCCCAGCCCACCACUGUUCAUCCGUUAGAGAAGAGGAGGUCUUGCUCCUCUGUCACAGUUAUUCUGUGUUUGUAGCGUCAGGGGGGAACCUGCAAAGUUGUCCCUCGCCUGAGGUCGGUCGGAUAUUCCUUUGACGUUAUUCGUUCCGAAGGGUGAAUAUUAGUAAUGAGUUUAUAAUAUAUUGCUAACUUUACUGUUGUGUGGAAAGCAAGGACUCACGCACACUCACACUCACACAAUCAUACUCACACAGAUGCAACAGACACACACACACACACACAAACACACGCCCACAAUACAACACACACAACCUGAAAGCCAUUGCUGGGAGGUGUGUUGGCCACCAGUUCAGCCCACUCCAUCUUAUUUAUUUAUUUAUAACAAUAUGUCAGAUCAUAGAGCGAUUGUCUCACCUGGGGGGAUGGGGGGGCCAAGCCUGUCUCCAUCCCACCGUGUGUUGCUGUGUGCGUUUGUGUUGCUGUGUGCGUUGCUGUGUGAAGGAUGUGUGUUGGUGUGUGCGUGUUGGUGUGCGUGUGUUGCUAUGCGUUUGGUUUGCGGUGGUGUGUAUGUGCGUGUGUUGGGAGGGG